AUCAAAUCGCCUUCCUUUUCGCUGCAAUCCUGAAGACAGCUGGUGGAAUAUACUACAAAUCAUAUCUGAAUAUUGUCCACUUGGGUAUAUCAGGAAAUGCGGACCUUAUUGAUCCUCGUGGUUGUCUGCCUUAUCGUAGGAGAUGCUCUAGCCAAAAGAAAAGGGAGAUGCAACAAACGUCCUAAAUAUGGAGACUCCUGUAAGUACGAGGAGAAAGUGAGGGGACGGUGGAAAGGCAGAUCUUGUCGCGACGGAGAGGUGUACUCUGGGGCCAGUUGUGGAUGUCAGAUCGACUGGGAGGCAAAGUACAAGUCGUUGAUAAGAAAUGGAGGUUUCGGCAACAAUGGUGGAAAUGGAAAUAACGGGGGAAAUAAUGGUGGCGAUGGUAAUGGAUUCGGAGGAGCUGGUGAUGGUUAUGGCGACGAUGGCAAUGGUGAUGAUAAUGGAGGUGAUGGUUACGAUGACGAUGAAGGCGAUGAUGACUAUGAUGGCGAAAAUGGCGAUGGUGAUGAUGACUACAAUGGCGACAAUGGGGACGGAGACUAUAACAAAUCAGGUGGUAAAUCAGGAAGUGGGUCGAGCAGUUCUGGAAGUGGAAGUGGAUCGAGCAGUUCCGGUAGCGGAUCUGGAAGUGGAAGUGGAUCUGGAAGCAGUUCAGGAAGUGGAUCUGGAAGCAUUCUGGAAGUGGAAGUGGAUCGAGCAGUUCCGGUAGCGGAUCUGGAAGUGGAAGUGGAUCUGGAAGCAGUUCAGGAAGUGGAUCUGGAAGCAGUUCAGGAAGUGGAUCUGGAAGCAGUUCAGGAAGUGGAAGUGGAUCUGGAAGCGAUGAAGACUCUGGGUCUGGAAGUGAUAGUAGUUCAGGAAGCGAUAGUGGGUCAGGUAGCGAUAGUGGAUCAGGCAGUGGAAGUGGAUCAGGAAGCGGAUCAGGCAGUGGAAGUGGAUCAGGAAGUGGGUCUAGCAGUUCUGGAAGUGGAUCAGGAAGCGGAUCAGGCAGUGGAAGCGGAUCAGGAAGUGGAAGUGGAUCUAGCAGUUCUGAAAGUGGAUCAGGAAGCAGUUCAAGCAGUGGUAGCGGAUCGGGCAGUGGAAGUGGAUCAAGAAGCGGAAGUGGAUCUAGCAGUUCUGGAAGUGGAUCUGGAAGUGGAAGCGGAUCAGGCAGUUCUGGAAGUGGAUCAGGAAGCGGAUCAAGCAGCGGAAGCAGUUCUGGAAGUGGAUCAGGAAGCGGAAGCGGAUCUAGCGAUAGCUCAAGUAGCAGUAGUAGUUCAAGUAGUAGUAGUGAAUCAGGAAGCGGAGAAGACUACGAUGAUUGGGAAAACAAUGGAGACUGGGAUAACGACAACGGAAACAAAAAUGGAAACGGUGGGUCAAAUAAAGAUAAUGGAUGUGGACCUAAUGAAAAUGGUAAAAAUUGCAACAACGGGGGAAACAAUGGCAAAAGUUAUAAUGGCAAAAGUGGGUUAAGCAAAAUUUUAUACGCAAUGAAAUGUGGAGCUGAUGGAAGCAGAUGCAGUAAUGGAAAUAAUGGAAAUGGCAACAAUGGAUACAGAAAGGGCAAUGGUAACGGCAAUGGUAAUGGAAAUGGCAAUGAUAACGGAAACGGAUGUGGUCCAGAUGGCAAAGGACCUGGAUGUGGAAAUGGAAAUAAUGGAAAUGGCAAAAAUGGAUACGGAAAUGGCAAUGGUAACGGCAAUGGUAAUGGAAAUGGCAAUGGAAACGGAAACGGAUGUGGACCAGAUGGAAAAGGACCUGGAUGUGGAAAUGGAAAUAAUGGAAAUGGCAAAAAUGGAUACAGAAAGGGCAAUGGUAACGGCAAUGGUAAUGGAAAUGGCAAUGGUAACGGAAAUGGAUGUGGUCCAGAUGGCAAAGGACCUGGAUGUGGAAAUGGAAAUAUUGGAAAUGGCAACAAUGGAUACGGAAAUGGCAAUGGUAACGGCAAUGGUAAUGGAAAUGGCAAUGGUAACGGAAACGGAUGUGGUCCAGAUGGCAAAGGACCUGGAUGUGGAAAUGGAAAUAAUGGAAAUGGCAAAAAUGGAUACGGAAAUGGCAAUGGUAACGGCAAUGGUAAUAGAAAUGGCAAUGGUAACGGAAAUGGAUGUGGACCAGAUGGAAAAGGACCUGGAUGUGGAAAUGGAAAUAAUGGAAAUGGCAAAAAUGGAUACGGAAAUGGCAAUGGUAACGGCAAUGGUAAUGGAAAUGGCAAUGGUAACAGAAACGGAUGUGGUCCAGAUGGAAAAGGACCUGGAUGUGGAAAUGGAAAUAAUGGAAAUGGUAAAAAUGGAUACGGAAAUGGUAACGGAAAUGGUAAUGGAAAUGGCAAUGGUAACGGAAACGGAUGUGGACCUGAUGGAAAAGGACCAGGAUGUGGAAAUGGAAAUAAUGGAAAUGGCAACAAUGGAUACGGAAAUGGCAAUGGUAACGGCAAUGGUAAUGGACAUGGAAAUGGCAAUGGUAACGGCAAUGGUAAUGGAAAUGGCAAUGGUAACGGAAAUGGAUGUGGACCAGAUGGAAAAGGACCUGGAUGUGGAAAUGGAAAUAAUGGAAAUGGCAACAAUGGAUACGGAAAUGGCAAUGGUAACGGCAAUGGUAAUGGAAAUGGCAAUGGUAACGGAAACGGAUGUGGACCUGAUGGCAGAGGACCAGGAUGUGGAAAUGGAAAUAAUAGAAAUGGCAACUAUGGAUACGGAAAUGGCAAUGGUAACGGUAAUGGAAACGGCAAUGGUAACGGCAAUGGCUAUGGAAAUAGCAACGGAAACGGUAACGGAUGUGGGCCAGACGGAAAAGGACCAGGAUGUAACAGUAUAUCCAGUUCCGGCACGCUGUCGUCGUAUGGUCAAGUGGUGUCGGGAUCAAAUGUCUAUUCUGCAAAUGGUUGUGGCCCAGAUGGGAAAGGACCAGGUUGUCAGGUUAAGCCUUUGUCACUUCCUAAGUAUUUCUCCAGGAAAAGCUCUCAAUAUCCUCGUAGAAAGAAUUGCAGUCCAAAUGAAAUUGGUUGUAAUUAAACAAGAACACUUAAUGUUUGCAACUAUAACACUUAAUACUCUAAUGUACACAUUCCUUCAUGAUUAUGUGAAAUAACAAUGACAGACGUGUAAGUGUAUUGAUCCAAAGAAUUCAGUAUUUUUGUUUGUUUUGUUGUUAUUUUGAUAAUAAAAAAAAGAAAAUUUCCCAU
rnacentral:misc_RNA from 1 species